AAAGGAAUUGACGGGGGCCCGCACAAGCAGCGGAGCAUGUUGUUUAAUUCGAUGCGACGCGAAGAACCUUACCAGGUCUUGACAUCGACUGAAUCCUCAGAGAUGAGGAGUGCCCUUCGGGGAGCAGGAAGACAGGUGGUGCAUGGUUGUCGUCAGCUCGUGUCGUGAGAUGUUGGGUUAAGUCCCGCAACGAGCGCAACCCUUAUGAUCAGUUACUAACGGGUAGAGCCGAGGACUCUGAUGAGACUGCCGGGGACAACUCGGAGGAAGGUGGGGACGACGUCAAAUCAUCAUGCCCCUUAUGACCUGGGCUACAAACGUGCUACAAUGGUGUUUUACAAAGAGGAGCGACCCCGUAAGGGCAAGCGGAUCUCAGAAAAGACAUCCCAGUUCGGAUUGUGGGCUGCAACCCGCCCACAUGAAGUUGGAGUUGCUAGUAAUCGCGAAUCAGCAUGUCGCGGUGAAUACGUUCCCGGGCCUUGUACACACCGCCCGU
rnacentral:rRNA from 1 species